rnacentral:rRNA from 1 species
AUUGAACGCUGGCGGAAUGCUUUACACAUGCAAGUCGAACGGUAGAGGGGGCAACCCCUCGAGAGUGGCGAACGGGUGAGUAAUAUAUCGGAACGUGCCCAGUCGUGGGGGAUAACGUAGCGAAAGUUACGCUAAUACCGCAUACGAUCUAAGGAUGAAAGCGGGGGAUCGCAAGACAUCGCGCGAUUGGAGCGGCCGAUAUCAGAUUAGGUAGUUGGUGGGGUAAAGGCUCACCAAGCCAACGAUCUGUAGCUGGUCAGAGAGGACGACCAGCCACACUGGAACUGAGACACGGUCCAGACUCCUACGGGAGGCAGCAGUGGGGAAUUUUGGACAAUGGACGCAAGUCUGAUCCAGCCAUUCCGCGUGCAGGAUGAAGGCCCUCGGGUUGUAAACUGCUUUUGUACGGAACGAAAAGGUCUCUCUUAAUACGGGGGGCUCAUGACGGUACCGUAAGAAUAAGCACCGGCUAACUACGUGCCAGCCGCCGCGGUAA